rnacentral:rRNA from 1 species
AGAGAGCUUGCUCUCGGGUGACGAGCGGCGGACGGGUGAGUAAUGUCUGGGAAACUGCCUGAUGGAGGGGGAUAACUACUGGAAACGGUAGCUAAUACCGCAUAACGUCGCAAGACCAAAGUGGGGGACCUUCGGGCCUCAUGCCAUCAGAUGUGCCCAGAUGGGAUUAGCUAGUAGGUGGGGUAAUGGCUCACCUAGGCGACGAUCCCUAGCUGGUCUGAGAGGAUGACCAGCCACACUGGAACUGAGACACGGUCCAGACUCCUACGGGAGGCAGCAGUGGGGAAUAUUGCACAAUGGGCGCAAGCCUGAUGCAGCCAUGCCGCGUGUAUGAAGAAGGCCUUCGGGUUGUAAAGUACUUUCAGCGAGGAGGAAGGCGUUAAGGUUAAUAACCUUGGUGAUUGACGUUACUCGCAGAAGAAGCACCGGCUAACUCCGUGCCAGCAGCCGCGGUAAUACGGAGGGUGCAAGCGUUAAUCGGAAUUACUGGGCGUAAAGCGCACGCAGGCGGUCUGUCAAGUCGGAUGUGAAAUCCCCGGGCUCAACCUGGGAACUGCAUUCGAAACUGGCAGGCUAGAGUCUUGUAGAGGGGGGUAGAAUUCCAGGUGUAGCGGUGAAAUGCGUAGAGAUCUGGAGGAAUACCGGUGGCGAAGGCGGCCCCCUGGACAAAGACUGACGCUCAGGUGCGAAAGCGUGGGGAGCAAACAGGAUUAGAUACCCUGGUAGUCCACGCCGUAAACGAUGUCGACUUGGAGGUUGUGCCCUUGAGGCGUGGCUUCCGGAGCUAACGCGUUAAGUCGACCGCCUGGGGAGUACGGCCGCAAGGUUAAAACUCAAAUGAAUUGACGGGGGCCCGCACAAGCGGUGGAGCAUGUGGUUUAAUUCGAUGCAACGCGAAGAACCUUACCUACUCUUGACAUCCAGAGAACUUAGCAGAGAUGCUUUGGUGCCUUCGGGAACUCUGAGACAGGUGCUGCAUGGCUGUCGUCAGCUCGUGUUGUGAAAUGUUGGGUUAAGUCCCGCAACGAGCGCAACCCUUAUCCUUUGUUGCCAGCGGUCCGGCCGGGAACUCAAAGGAGACUGCCAGUGAUAAACUGGAGGAAGGUGGGGAUGACGUCAAGUCAUCAUGGCCCUUACGAGUAGGGCUACACACGUGCUACAAUGGCAUAUACAAAGAGAAGCGACCUCGCGAGAGCAAGCGGACCUCAUAAAGUAUGUCGUAGUCCGGAUUGGAGUCUGCAACUCGACUCCAUGAAGUCGGAAUCGCUAGUAAUCGUAGAUCAGAAUGCUACGGUGAAUACGUUCCCGGGCCUUGUACACACCGCCCGUCACACCAUGGGAGUGGGUUGCAAAAGAAGUAGGUAGCUUAACCUUCGGGAGGGCGCUUACCACUUUGUGAUUCAUGACUGGGGUGAAGUCGUAACAAGGUAACCGUAGGGGAACCUGCGGUUGGAUCACCU